UACUGACACUAAAGCUCGAAAGUGCGGGUAUCGAACAGGAUUAGAUACCCUGGUAGUCCGCACGGUAAACGAUGGAUGCCCGCUGUUUGCCCUUCGGGGUGAGUGGCUAAGCGAAAGCGUUAAGCAUCCCACCUGGGGAGUACGCCGGCAACGGUGAAACUCAAAGGAAUUGACGGGGGCCCGCACAAGCGGAGGAACAUGUGGUUUAAUUCGAUGAUACGCGAGGAACCUUACCCGGGCUUGAAUUGCAGAUGACGGAUCUAGAGAUAGUGACUUCCUUCGGGACAUCUGUGAAGGUGCUGCAUGGUUGUCGUCAGCUCGUGCCGUGAGGUGUCGGCUUAAGUGCCAUAACGAGCGCAACCCUUCUCUUCAGUUGCCAUCAGGUAGAGCUGGGCACUCUGGAGACACUGCCACCGUAAGGUGUGAGGAAGGUGGGGAUGACGUCAAAUCAGCACGGCCCUUACGUCCGGGGCUACACACGUGUUACAAUGGCCGGUACAGAAAGUCGGAUGCCCGUAAGGUCAUUCUAAUCAAGAAAGCCGGUCCCAGUUCGGACUGAGGUCUGCAACCCGACCUCACGAAGCUGGAUUCGCUAGUAAUC
rnacentral:rRNA from 1 species